rnacentral:rRNA from 1 species
UACAGAGGUCCCGAGCGUUGUUCGGAUUCACUGGGCGUAAAGGGUGCGCAGGUGGGUUUGCAAGUUUGAUGUGAAAGCCCCGGGCUUAACCCGGGAAUGGCAUUGAAUACUGCAGAUCUGGAGGAUUGGAGGGGGGACUGGAAUUCUUGGUGUAGCAGUGAAAUGCGUAGAUAUCAAGAGGAACACCUGCGGCGAAGGCGGGUUGCUGGGCCGACACUGACGCUGAAGUGCGAAAGCUAGGGGAGCGAACGGG